GAUCAUGGCUCAGGAUGAACGCUAGCGACAGGCCUAACACAUGCAAGUCGAGGGGCAACGAUGGUAUCAGCUUGCUGAUACCGAUGGCGACCGGCGCACGGGUGAGUAACGCGUAUGGUAAUCUACCUGUAACAGAGGGAUAACCCGGAGAAAUCCGGACUAAUACCUCAUAGCACAUAUUAUUCGCAUGAAUUUUAUGUUAAAGAGACUCGGUUACAGAUGAACAUGCG
rnacentral:rRNA from 1 species